GAUGAACGCUGGCGGCGUGCCUAAUACAUGCAAGUCGAGCGAACAGACGAGGAGCUUGCUCCUCUGACGUUAGCGGCGGACGGGUGAGUAACACGUGGAUAACCUACCUAUAAGACUGGGAUAACUUCGGGAAACCGGAGCUAAUACCGGAUAAUAUAUUGAACCGCAUGGUUCAAUAGUGAAAGACGGUUUUGCUGUCACUUAUAGAUGGAUCCGCGCCGCAUUAGCUAGUUGGUAAGGUAACAGCUUACCAAGGCAACGAUGCGUAGCCGACCUGAGAGGGUGAUCGGCCACACUGGAACUGAGACACGGUCCAGACUCCUACGGGAGGCAGCAGUAGGGAAACUUCCGCAAUGGGCGAAAGCCUGACGGAGCAACGCCGCGUGAGUGAUGAAGGUCUUCGGAUCGUAAAACUCUGUUAUUAGGGAAGAACAAAUGUGUAAGUAACUAUGCACGUCUUGACGGUACCUAAUCAGAAAGCCACGGCUAACUACGUG
rnacentral:rRNA from 1 species